UUCAUGCAUGUAAAUUAAGCGUGCACUCUCAACCAACAUACACAAAUCAGUUUUUUAUACGAACGGAUAAGUAAAUUGAAUUCACAACUUAUAACUCACAACUGAAGGUAAUCAAUUCAUAUUACAAAUAUAUUCAUGGCUUUGAAUUAACCUCUAGCCAAAAUAAAUUUAAUUACACAUUAUUAAAAAUAGAAAUAAAAUAGAAGUUUAGAGAGAUUAAACCGAAAGAGAAAAAGAUCUCUGUCUGCGUUUCCACUGAGCAGCCCUCUCGCUGCCCAAAGGCAGCGCCUAUCUUUCUGCGUGCUGUCUCCUGCUCGUUUCUGGUUCUCUCCACCCAUUUUCUCUCCGCAGCUUCACGCUGCCCAAAGGGCAGCCCUCUGCCUUUCUUUUUCUUUUCCCGUCUCUCCCUUCAGCUUUUUUUUUUAUUUUCCACGCUGGUUCUUCACUCCUUUCUGACUUGCGCCCCUUUCUCCCGCUGCCCAAAGGCAGCUCCUAUUCUUUUGUUUUUCUUUUCUGACCUGCCCGUUAUUUUUUUUUUAUUCCAUCUUUUUUUUCAGCUGCCCCAGCAGCUUUCUUUUCCUUUCCGUAGCUGUCUCCCCCCCCGUGCUCACCUCUUCCCUUUUUCACGUUUUCUGCUUGCCUUCUUUAUCUCCUUUGCCUUUUUUCCUCGUCUAUGCUAUUAUUCCCCCUUUUGUUUGCCCCUUGUUGACCUGCUUUCCUCCAGCUGCAAAGGCAGCUUGCUUUCCUCUAUAUUCUCCUCCCGAUGCUCUCCAUUCUGUUUUCUUUCUUUCUUUUUUUUUUUUUUUUUUACGCAAAUUAAGUGGAAUCCCCACUUUUCUGGCAAAGCCACGCACCUUUUAUUUUCAUUUAGUUUCUAGCAGCCCCACAUAGCAGAAAAAUAAGUUCUUUCGAUCAUGUUACUCCUACAAACACAAAAUAUAUCAAAAGUAUCAUAAAUACUUAAAGCUUCCAACUAAAUUAGACAAGAAAAGAAAUAUAAAAGGAUGAAAUAUAUAGUUUAAAUAUUGGUUUAUCAUUUAGCGUCACAAUGGGUUAGCAAUAUUGUAAUUUAAAUUUGCUUUUGACGAAUUUAUUACAUAAAACUUCGCUAGUUCUAUUUUUAUUUUCUUUGCAUAACAAAUCCUAUAAACACAAAAAUAACGUAAAUAGCUCAAAAAUAUAAGGAACUAACUAAGAAAAGAUGAGUGAAUUCGAAGUAAAAAUAUAUAUAAAUAUGAUCCGAUCAAAUACCCCCACACUUAACUUUUGCUAGUCCUCGAGCAAAACAAAGAAAACAUGAAAAAAGUACUAACAUGAAAAACAUUAGUUUCCCCCUAUGUGACCCUCAUAGAAUUUCAUUCGAGAAAACAAAUCGUCAAGAACCAUAGCUAGCACCAAACAAGUUAAUCCAAGUUCAUCUUCCUUAUUCAAAUAUUAGCAGUAAUCUUUGAAUCAUCCUUGAAGUGUAGUGUGUGAGAUAGCCAUGCUAAUGCAAUUUCAAGUUUUUAUUUUUAAAAUCAUCAUAUGCAAACUAGUAACCUUCUCACGGGAUAUGCACUCAAUCACACAUGUGUUUAGAUUUAAUGUGUUUCGCUCAAAGAAUCAAAUGUGAAAUUUCUACCAUAAGCUUACAUAAAGAUCACUUCUCCACAGUCAUAAUUGCAAAACUUAAAUCAAGAGGACUUUUAUUGGAUGUAAUGAGGCUUAGGGAUAGGGUUAUUGAAAUGAAAGAAUAGGAAAACACAAGUUCCAAGCUACAUUGCAAGCAAUUCUUUUCUUUAGAUUUAUAAGAACUCAAGCUCUCCAGCAAUUCUUCUAGCACCUCCAACCAUACUCUUAAACUGAAACUUGAACAACUUUUUAUUUUCUUUGUGUACAAUUUUUCUUUUUCUUUUUCUUUUCUUCUCUUUUUUUUUCCUUUUUUUUUUUUUUUUUUUUUUUUUUUUAUAAUCACAAACAUGAAAUACCCCCACACUUAUUCUUUUGCCAAACAUCUUCACAGUACUUCACAAACGUUUCUCAUAAGACAAUCUCGCAUUGCUCGCUUGGAAAGGGUAAUGAAAAAUGUUUCAGGUAUAAGGGUAGACAUAUCUAGUGAUAAGAAAUAAAAGGUUCAACAUACACGGCUCAAAUUGGCAAACUAAUGAUAUCAUUUUUCUUUGGGAAACAUGGUUAUUUGGGCCAUAGUGGUAAACCUAAUGCCUCUAUCAUUUCCAAGUUCAUGCAAUCAAUGACAAACAAUUCGAAAGAUCGUUACGCAAGUUCUAGAGAUGUAUUUCACAUAAGUUCAUCACACAUGAAAGAAUAGGAGUGUAUGAAAAAUGCACACUUUCAAUAGGCUCAAAAACUCACAUAGGAUGUAU
rnacentral:lncRNA from 1 species